AUUUCUGGGACAGAGCUUUAAAGAAGGAGGUGUUCCACCUCCAAGCUCUCAUUUUUCUUUCACUGACUGGAGGCAGAUGAUGAAUUUGAAGCCCUGACAAAGAGAAGGCAAAAUCAGUUUGUGUCCCUGAGUUGCUAAGUGGAGAAGAAACGUCCACCAACCAGGAAACACCUGCCUCCAACUUAGGUCUGUGAAAUGUGCUUUGUUUCUGGUCAGCAUGGACACCCGCUUUAAUAGUGGCUUCAGAUGAGGCACCUUGUGACAGAGGAGCUCUUCCCCUGCAGCAACCUUGAAGAUGUUGUGGAAGACAAUAGCCAUUCUUACUUCACUCUGAGGAUCACGAUGGCGUGCAAGGGUGUGCCAAGCACAUUGCUAUCUUUGGCCAUUCUCUCUCACAUUAGUACACCUGGAUGUGAAUGGCACGUUAUCUAUGUAAGCAGUGAUGGUCUCUAUCUGGUGGUAGAAAUGACAGAAUUACACACAAUCAGGACAGCUGAGAUUCCAUUUACUAGCUCAGUAAUCAGAGAAUAUGUAUGACAUCCCAGCAAAAAAUGUUGAACAUGUUCAGAUUUCAUCAUAUCAGCACCACAGUAUCAGUCUUACUGGGAGGUGCUCGCAUUCAGUUCCUGGCUACUGAAGAAAUUUUGCAGGAGUUCCAGAUAACUUACUUGUCCCAUAAU
rnacentral:lncRNA from 10 species